rnacentral:hammerhead_ribozyme from 1 species
GCACUGCUGAUGAGUCUCACAAUAGGACGAAAUAGCCAUCCAGUGC